UUUAGUAAUGGCUUCUUUAAGCAUUAAGAUUGAUAUUUUUUAGUGCACAUGAAAAUAUUAUUUUUAUUUAAAAAAAGCAAGAAACUAUCAUAACUCAAAGGGAGAAUCCAGUGUUACGCGUCGGUCGUGCGUAGCCAUUGUCGUUUGUUGUAACAACUCCCCUCACGCCUAGCAAUCUCAAGGCUCAAACGCUGGAAGAGCGGCCGGGCGCUCGCAUUUCUCGAUAGGUCGGGCUAAUACAGCAAAUUUUACAAGUCAAUAACUCGUUAACUAUUGCGAAAAUGGAACAACGGUAAAGGACUUUUCUGUUCAGUUUAAUGCUCUCUAUCUGCUCAUAAACGUUGACGGAAGGUUUACAUUACACCCUGUAUAUCGAUUAUUUUGGAACAAAAAAAUUUUUUUUAUACAUGAUAAAUGACGAAUAAUAAUACUGUAUAGUUUCAAAACAUUUAGUGUAAUAUUUUUAUUCUAAAAAAUUCCUAAAAAAUUGUCUAUUUUUUUGCCGUUUACAGGAAACGCCCUCCUUAAUAAAAGAUUUAUUAUAUAUUUAAGUUUACAGCGUAUCAUAUAUUAUUAUAAUAUACAUGUAUUAAGUUUAUAAUAUAACGCGUAAUAUAUGAAAAAUUCAUUCUACCCCGUGAGCGCGGUAUGAAAAAUUUUAAACACAAAAUGUUCUUUUAAAGAGAUGCCGAAAAGGGAAAAAGAGAGAAUCAAAAGCUCUUUAAAGUAGAGAUUCAAGCUUUAAAUAAAUAAAAAACUUUCUAAUAUAGUUAUCGAUAAGUUUUCGUGAAGUUACGAUUAUUUGAAGUUAAGUGAAAUUUUGAUAAGAAUUUUUGUUGCGUUAAUUUUGUUGCUCAGUAUAUUAUAUGCAUUGUGAUGUGACAACUGCGGGCUGUUGUCCGUCACAAGGGCCUUGGUAGCGCUUAUGCAUUUGCAUCACGCGGGUCCUGCGUUCUCCUGUUCGGGAGCGGACGCGGAAGAGCGACGCGUCGUAUUUUGUGUGCGUGCGUCCCGUGUGUUGUCCUUUAUUAAAUUGUUGGAAUUUUUGCGAGCGUUGCCUCGUGAGUGCGGCGGAAAUCGGACUAAUAGGAACUUAACUUGUAAUUUUUGACGUCUCGUCUCAACUGAGGACCUUCCCGGGAGUCGCGGAGUGAGCUGUCAACGAGGGAUUUACAGAGACCCUUUUCGAACGGGGGUCCGCAGAUCCGAGGAAGGCGCACAGACAAGGUGUCCUGACAGCGCGGCUAGGGAGCAGAUCCCGCAAAAAUCUCGGAACAGGCCACGUGAAUUAACUACAUAAUUGCCGCCCAUGGAGAGGCGAAGGCAACAUCCCGGAGAUGGGAGAUGCGCUCCGUUAAGAGACGAGGAACCGCUGCCGACAAGAAAGCGCAAAAUUUACGUGCGCAGCCGCGCAGGGCCCCGAAAGUUCGAUCACCGCGCCUAGAAUCACCCAGCAAGUAGCGACAACGCACGUCACGCGUUGCGCGCACAUCGUGCAGAAAAUCGCGGCCAAUAAGGGCCCGGCUUAUCACAGGCAAGAUGCGACGCGUCGCCGAGCGGUCUCCGCAGGAUCAAGGAUCGAACAUUGGUUGCGGAAGUCAGUGCGUGCGAUAUCGAUCCCGAGCUGCACAAUUGUGAGGGAACGCAGAGCGAAAUAUCCCGACCCGAACGAGGCUGAGGAGGAGGAAUCAACUUGGUGAGAUGAGCGUCACGAAACCAUUGUAAAGCCGCCGAUUUUGUGAUUGGGCGAGCCGCAAGAAUGUCACGGAUUUAUUACGGUCUUUCCGUUGUUAAAGUAGAGUCACGAGCUCCCCAAUUUUCUGCAAUCUCGUCGUCUUGCCCAAUCGCGCCCGCCUGCGUGUCGUUCUCUUCGUUAUAAUUGUGUUGCAUGCGUGUCCCGAUCCGCAGCCGAGUCAUUAUUGUAUUUGUAUCGUAUUUGUAUCGCGAAUCUUCGCGUAAUUGUAUUUUUGUCAAAAUGACUAUUCGUCUCUUACAGUUUCGCUAGCGAGCGAGUAAUAAUUGUCGCGCACUUUAUUCGCAAAAUAUUAUAUUGUACGCCAUAGCACGAGUCCGCGUGUUACGCGGGCUCCGAAAUAUUGUUCGUCCCGAUCGCCCUUGGUGAGACCGUUAUCUUACUGGGAGUUCGGUGCCUACUAACGACGCAUAGUCAGGUAUAGACGAGUCAGAGAAUCUUCGCGUACGUGAAGUGACGUUCCUGAUAAUUGUCCUGUGUUCGAGAGAUCUGAUUUUGAGCGAUCGCCUGCUCGUUGCGCGCGUAAAGUGUGGUCGCCGAUCGUUAAGAAUUUGUAAUUGUUUGAAUUGUGAAAUAUAUUUGUUAUUCUUGCUUGUUUAAUCAAUGUUGUGUUCACGAUAUUUCUCUCGCCUUCCCGAUUCCAUCCGCCCGCAUCGAACCUUCCCCUCUGCCAUUUUAGGGCUGAGUAACUGACUAUCGGAGCCGUCCGGUCGCCUACGAGGCCUGUUCUUUUUCCGUGAUUUUACGAAUCAAGAGUAAUCUUCCGCGACUCGUGAGAAGAGUGGUACGCUUAACGUACCUGGCGCCCAAUUUCAUAUUCUAACGAAAACCACGAGAAACGGUCGUUCCGACACCCGAGCGGCUCAGAGCCGCAACCAGGGACGGAGGCGAAGUUGGCCGUCGCUCUCGCGAGCACGGUUAUAGCAUGUAUAAUUAAAAAAAGUCUUUUUAAUAUAAA